UUCCAUGCACAUCCCUAACAUGAUGAGGUGGUAUAGAAAUGUAACAAAUAAAAUCUUGCUGAGAUCAUUAGAAUGGGGUUUCUCAAAGCUGGAUCCCCAGAUGUAGUUGGACUACAACUCCCAUGAUCUGCAGCCACAUUGACCAUAUGGGAUGAUUGGAGCUGUAUUCAGACAACAUUUGGUGACCCAGUGUUGAGAACCGCUACCUUAGAACAAUCCUAUAAUGCAGCUACGCCCCUGCAUCAACUACCAGACACUUGGGAAACGCUGCAGCAGCAUGACAUGGCAACUUCCCAGGAUGAAACUAACUGGACUGGAGGUAAUAAAGUAAUCAAAAUGCAACAAACAACUUGAAAAUAGACACUGCUAUUAUCCAUAAAAGCUCGUAACGAAAUGAAAAUUGAGCCCUGAAUCAAACUGCAAGAUUUCUGAUGACUCUGUCUGGAUCGAUGUGCAGUCUUUAUACAAAA